AACGAACGCUGGCGGCAUGCCUAACACAUGCCAGUCGAACGAGACCUUCGGGUCUAGUGGCGCACGGGUGCGUAACGCGUGGGAACCUGCCCUUAGGUUCGGAAUAACUCCCCGAAAGGGGUGCUAAUACCGGAUAAUGUCUUCGGACCAAAGAUUUAUCGCCUUUGGAUGGGCCCGCGUUGGUUUAGCUAGUUGGUAGGGUAAAAGCCUACCAAGGCGACGAUCCAUAGCUGGUCUGAGAGGAUGAUCAGCCACACUGGGACUGAGACACGGCCCAGACUCCUACGGGAGGCAGCAGUGGGGAAUAUUGGACAAUGGGCGAAAGCCUGAUCCAGCAAUGCCGCGUGAGUGAUGAAGGCCUUAGGGUUGUAAAGCUCUUUUACCCGGGAUGAUAAUGACAGUACCGGGAGAAUAAGCUCCGGCUAACUCCGUGC
rnacentral:rRNA from 1 species